GUUGCUUCUAGGCUUGUUAAAAUGAGUGGCCAAAUAAAUUGUUGGUCGUUUGUUGUUUGUUAGAAGCAUAAAUUGAUAGUUAUGUGCCAGCAUUUAACAGCAUGAUGUUCAUCUCUUUGCAUUGUGUUACCUGUCUUCUGGUAAAUCU